AUUGAACGCUGGCGGCAUGCCUAACACAUGCAAGUCGAACGAGUGGCGGACGGGUGAGUAAUGUCUGGGAAACUGCCUGAUCGAGGGGGUUAACUACUGGAAACGGUAGCUAAUACUGCAUACCAUCAGAUCUGCCCAGAUGGGAUUAGCUAGUGGGUGGGGUAACGGCUCACCAAGGCGACGAUCCCUAGCUGGUCUAAGAGGAUGACCGGCCACAAUGGAACGGAGACACGGUCCAGAAUCCUACGGAAGGCAGCAGUGGGGAAUAUUGCACAAUGGGCGCAAGCCUGAUGCAGCCAUGCCGCGUGUAUGAAGAAGGCCUUCGGGUUGUAAAGUACUUUCAUCGGGGAGGCGUUACCCGAAGAAGAAGCAACGGCUAACUCCGUGCCAGCAGCCGCGGUAAUUC
rnacentral:rRNA from 1 species